rnacentral:rRNA from 1 species
CACCGCGGUUAUACGAGAGGCCCAAGUUGAUUUACUCGGCGUAAAGAGUGGUUAUGGAAUUCUUAUACUAAAGCCGAAAGCCCCUCCAACUGUUAUACGUGCCCAGAGGCUAGAACAACACUACACGAAAGUAGCUUUAUUAACGCCAACCAGAACCCACGACAGCUGGGGCA